UCGGCAGCAGCGGAGGAAAUCGGGAAGAACAGCGACGUGAAUUGGGAGAUUUUGGGUGCUGAAAAAUUGGAUUAAAUUAGGUUUAAUCUGCGAUUUAAUUAUCCAGUUUGUAUAGUUUUUACUACUUUUGGACCAAACGAGCCUAAGGAUAUCUCUGAUAAGGUAAGGGUAAAGCGAAGGCCGAGGGCGAGGAUCGCACCACCUAGCAGCCAGCCGUGUUGGUAAGAUGUACAGCUAGCUGCCCCCGUCAUCUCUGAUGUUUUGCUAGAGUCGUUGUCUUUUAUUUUUUACUGUGCCAGGUUGUCAUUUGUACCUUCUAUUGUUGGUGUUAAUGUAUUGUAACCUGUACAAUCGGCCAAACCAACCAAGAGCAAGCGCGGUAAAAAUAGAAACAGAAAACGAACGCAAGAACACAACGAUAUACGUGUUCGGAUCAAUAGAUCCUACUCACGGUAGAGGCUCCGCCUCUAGUCAAUCCACUAAUAGCUUUCGGUUACAACCAGAUUACAAGAUCACAAG